AUUUUGGGAGAGAGUGCUACCAGCAAAGACGGGGCAGGUGCAACUGCCACUUCAGAUCCUGAAGGUGAUGGAGAUGUACUGUAGACAUCUCUACAAUGGACCCUGAGCCAGAAGUGGUCCAUCGUGGAUCACAGUGCAACAUAAGAUGUUUACAUCGUUCAUUAGGUAGUUAGCUAAUAUCUAGCAUUCACCAUACAUGCCAUAUACAAUCACAAAUAAGGAUUACAUGUCAAAAUUUUUCAUGAUCUCCAUGGUUACUAUUUUGUAAUUUACACUUUUCAGACAUUAAACAUUAAAAAUGAUGAACUUCAUAAUGUUAGAAAAAUAUAUUUUGUACUGGGUUGCAUUAGAUUGUAUGUGUUGUUACUAAUGAAUGUACAAUGGUGAACAAUUAUUAAGAUGAAUCUCUUUCAUCUAAGCUGUUCAGGUAAAGCCUCAGAUGGUGGAUGUGGGGACUCAAACCGAAAGGUUUGAGCAUCGCAGAUCAACUCCACUGGCCAGUCCUGAACAAAGUGAUGAUGAAUGGUCAUUUUCUGAUAUCAUCAACCAUUCUGGUGAUAUGUCAUGGAGUCCAGGGGAGGAGAUGUUGAGCGGGUCCUAUGAGGAGGAACCAGAAGAGCUGGAAUCUCUCAGUGACCCAAAUGCUGUUGACAAGUUCAUUGUUUGCCAGAGGCAGUUGCUGUCCUUGUUCACGGUUUGCCCUACAUGCUGUGGGGAAACCCAGGGACACAUAAUGCACCCGGAAGGAACUUUCAUAAAAGUCAAGCAGGUAAUGUCUUAUUUGUCAACUGUCUGUGAGGAGCUGAAUUAUAGUCUGUGAAUGUACAGUAUGUGUAUUAAUUAUUUCUGUCUUAACUAUACAGGUAUUUCACUGCCUAAUUUUAAAGCUGCUUGAGUAUUGAAUCUUCUCUCAUCUUUCAGGCCUGCGGAACUUGAGGUUAUGAGCGUUACUGGCAAAACCAAGAGAAGGUGCAUCGAAACAUCCACUUCUCAGGUUGCAUGGCUACUCAGACAAUCAGGAUGCUGAAGCUGUUUGGACUGCAGUGCAUAAGUCCCGGCAAUUUUUCCGCCAUCAGCGCUAUUACACUAUCCCUACCAUUGUGCGGGCCUGGAGGAAUGAGCAGAGGGGGAUCAUCAGGGAGUUGAAGGAGACUGGGGUGGAUUGAUCCUGUCUGGUGACUGCAGGUAGAAUGGUCCAGCUCACGUCACUGAUGUAGAACAGGUCAGUGUGUUUUUGCAUUAACCUCUAAAUGUAACUGUUUUUGACGUUCUUAGAUCAGAUUCUCCUGGACACUGUGCCAAAUAUGGUAGCUACUCCUUGAUCGAGGAUCGAAUUAACAAGGUUUUGGAUGUUCAACUUGUCCAAGUAAGUUGAUGUCACAGAAUUCUUGUGUCUGAUUUAGUUACUGAUAUUACUGUAACUGUUCAGUAAUAAUCAGUUGGUUUUACAGAGCUCAGAAGUCCCAAGCAGCUCUUGGUGUGAGCUAGAGGGUCUAAAGCGGAGUAUGCAGUUCCUGAUGGACCAAGACAUGCAAGUGUCUGCUCUGAUAUAAGGCAGAAAUCGGCAGGUAAUGAUGCUAGGAGAGAUCUAAAGCUGAACAGCAUUGACAGGCACAGUAUCACUCAAAAUAAAUUCUAAAUUCUAUAAAAUCAGUUUGUUUUAGGCAACACAGUCUCACCCCUAUUCGUCACAUACUGCCGUUUGGUCAUUUCCCCCUCAUGUCCAUAAGCCGACGUUGAGGGUACCCCCUAUUCGUCGCUUGACAACGUAGAGGGUCGUCUGAUAGAUUUGAGUGCAAAUCCCUCAUCUUUGAAUUUUGACGAAAUGGGGUUAUCCAUCCAGCGGUUUGCCUGCGCUGGAAAGUAUGGUUUCAGGUGAUUGAUUUUAUGCUGCAAAUGUGUAUUUUGUAGUAGCGUGCGGCGCAAAUACUGUUAAAAUCAUUCAUUGGUGUGGUGACUAUACAUUUUCGUGGGGCAGAAACCGGUAUCACGACUUUUUCUGUCUCUUUUUUUAUAUAAUUUUGGGCUAACGUUACAUUAAAAUGACAUAUUUACAGGACUGUAUAUUUGCUGUAUGCUUAAUACAUGCCUUAAUUUAGGUGGGAUAUUUUAUAAUUUUCGAUCACAUACUGCUGUUUGGUCAUUUCCCCCUCACGUCCAUAAGCCGACGUUGAGGGUACCCCCUAUUCGUCGCUUGACAACGUAGAGGGUCGUCUGAUAGAUUUGAGUGCAAAUCCCUCAUCUUUGAAUUUUGACGAAAUGGGGUUAUCCAUCCAGCGGUUUGCCUGCGCUGGAAAGUAUGGUUUCAGGGGAUUAAUUUUAAUGCUGCAAAUUGUGUAUUUUGCAGUAGCGUGCAGCGCAUAUACUGUUACAGUCAUUCAUUGGUGCGGUGACUAUACAUUUUUGUGGGGCAGAAACCCUUGUCUAAAUCGGUAUCACGACUUUUUCUCUUUUUUAAUAUAAUUUAGGGCUACAUUAAAACGACAUAAUUGCACGACUGCAUAUUUGCUGUAGGCUUAAAACAUGCCUUAAUUUAGGUGGGAUAUUUUAUAAUUGUCGAUGGUAUUUCAAUUUGCAAUGGCUUAUAAUGAGCCUACAACUUUGCUUUUUUUGCGACAAAAAAAGAAUAGUCUACUUUUAUAGAUCUUUCAUCUCAAUACUGAUUAUGAAGUUGUGAAAAAUUAAAUAGCCUACUGCAGAAAUGUUUAUAUUGCUUAAUAUGGACAUAUCCUUUGGCAAAGAGAUGGAUGCAUUCUGGGAAGUGAUGUGUUUAAAUGUAAUGGCUACAUAUACCCGUGUUUCCUUCACUUAGACAUUUAUGCUGACCCUUUAAAAUUUUGAGCAAGGAUAUAAAAUAUUAAGACUGUACUUUUUCAUUAUGAUUGAUAUUUUGGCGCAAUUUUGUGCAACACGUCACUGUGUGCGACCAUCGCAGAAACCAUUGCCCAGCGCGAUUCCACCACGGUAAGUCGCUUACAACAGUCUAAUAAGCAAGAUAAAUGAAUAAGCAUUGACACGUCUAUACAUAUAUAUAGGCUAUACAUAUAUACACAACAUGUUUUUUUUUUCUUGGAAAUAAACUCAUAAUUUUAUUUUGGACGUGUAAAUGCUUAUUGAGGGGUUAUUGGGGGAUAUAUAUAUACAUAUAUAAAGUGUAUACAAGAACCCUGAUCAUGUUAUUCCUGUUUGUUUAUCCAUUUGAAUUAAGGCAGAACCAGGAUGUGUUCAAAAUAUCAAUAUUUUUAAAAUCAUUAAUUUUUAUAUGAUAUUGUGAUUGCAUGAAUGAACAAGAGCAGCAUUUACUUAACUUCUUAGCCUAGUAGUUAUUCAUAUUGUAAUAUGAGGUUUGGUGAUCUAUUAUUUUUUUAUUUGUUCUUCUCUUUCUCUGCAGGUUCCUUAAUCCCUGUCCUUUUAAAAAAACAGCACCUCAUUACAUCGGGAAAAAAAAGGCACUUUUAAGAGCCACAUUUGUUUUGUAUCUUGUUACUCUCUCUACUGUUGUAUUGUGUUCUCUCUCUCUCUUGCUGUCUUACUGUCUCUCCCUCCCCUCUGAGUGGGGUUUUUGUUUGUUUGUUUUGUCUUUUUUUGUCCCUGAGUGUUUAUAGUGUGUUUAUAUUUUGUGCCAUGUCUGAUCCUGAGAUGGACCGUCUCCUGAAUGAGAUGAGUGACCUUGUUGAUCAGGCUGAACAUCAAGCUCACCUCCAACAGCUCAUUAGCAUGCACCAGGAAGCAGAACCAUCCACCGGUCAGCCUUCCACCAGUAAUCCAUCCACCAGCCGGCCAUCAAAAAGCAAGCAAGAUGUUAGGUGGAUUAAGAGGGACAGUGAUGGAAACAUUAUUUACGGCAGGCCCAGAUCAUCCCGCAACCAAGCAGGUACAAUUUUUUUAACAUUAAUGUUAAAUAAAAAUGUAGACUCCAGAUCUAGUUUUGCAUCUUGGAAUGGUAUACAACAUGAUCAUAAGUCAUGGGUCUGAAUUAGAACAUAUCUGAGGUUAUUAUUACGUACCUGUGCCUAGCAUCAGGUAAAGUUUGUGUCAUUGAGUGUAAAAAAAGCAACAGCUUUUUUUGCUACAGCAGGUCCCAGUCACAGCCAGAGUCGAAAGACUGGUGUCUCUCAUAUCAGGGCUCCUGAAACCAGUGCGGAAAUGACCAGUGACUUUCCUUCCGUUACUGCAGGUGUGUUAUUUAUUUUGACUUCACUGGUUCAAAAACAGUAUGUUCAUUUAUUAUAAAAAUGGCCAUUGUUCAAUGCUAUUCUCUUUU
ensembl:lncRNA